rfam:Triticum aestivum genome assembly, contig: Triticum_aestivum_CS42_TGACv1_scaffold_033032_1BL
AUAUUACUCCCUCUGUCCGGAAAUACUUGUCUUUGAAAUGAAUGUAUCUAGAUGUAUUUUAAUUCUAGAUACAUCCAUUUUUAUUCAUUUAUGCGACAAGUAAUUUCGGACGGAGGGAGUACUUU